GUGAAUGUGUGUGUAGCCUAAUAUCUGAGGUGUUUUGUUCACAGGUGUCUGACUGGUAUCUGUCAUGGGCAUCUGUUAUUUUAUCAUGAGCAGCAUAUCACUGCUGGGGUGUGUUGCCAUGGCACUCAACAGACAGGCACUCUGCAUGCCAGAGUGUCUAAAGUGUAACAGCACGGACACAGACCACAGCUUAGACAAUUGUCUUGGUCAUUGCAACGGUGCCAACAAUUCCUGCGAGGAUGUUCCUAAAACCUGCAUAAAAGAUUUUCAAGUGCGGCUGAACACUUCCUCAGAGAUCAACGAGGGGGAUGACUUCAUGGCCACCUGUGAGAACGACCUACCUCAAAACCUUGCCAAACAAUAUAUUUGGCUUCAGGACGAUGAACAAGUUCCUGAUCAGAACACAAGCCAGCUGACUCUAGAGAAACAAAUCCAUGAUUUCAAAGUGUCCUGCAAAAUAAACAGUCUUUGUGGUAAAUUCAUGUCAGACACCAUGGAUAUUGAUGUUCAAGGUUAGCAUUUUUUAGCAUUAUUAGCACGAGUGGUGCAUACAACUGUAUUUUCAAGUCAACCGUUUAUCUAUUGGUGUUGUUCUUAUUGUCUGUCCAUGUUAUACAAAACCAGGUAUGCAAACACGUACGUGAUGGUUAAUUCAUGUCUGCCAUGUCUUUCAUGUUUCUGAACUCCAGACAGCAGCAUUUUGGUCCUGGUUGUGUGUGCCGUGAGUGCUGUUGUGCUUAUUUUGAUAUUCACUUUGGGCAUGAAGCUUCUUCUCAAGAGGGAUGUGGCUCAGAGAAAGAACAGACAUCAGCAGCAGGCACAUAAUAUCAACGCCAUCCACACAGUGACGCCUGUGGGCUCUGGAAACCGAUAGGCUCCUUUACCCAUGUGUAAUACAUGUUAAAUACAUGCUAUGUGACAUGACCCAAUCUAACAGCACUCCUUGUAUUUCCACUGUCCAAAAUGUGCCCCUGCUGCUUCAGGGACCAUAUAGAAGAUAUCACAUUGCUAAAAUCAUGUCUAAAAUUUCAGUUUUAUAGUUUUAAACUACUGUACUUUACGUAUGCUAUCACAUUACCACAGUGUAUGCAUCCUUGCAUUAAUCCGCCUCCACUUUGUGCAUUGUCUUGGAUUCAUUCUGGUUCAGAGACUCUUCAUAGGACAUGUGAUCCUCUUAGUACUUAUAGUUCAAACCCCAAUUUCUUCCAGCUCUUGAUCCAGCUCUUGACACUGAUGAAUUUAAAAACAAAGCAGUACAGAAGCUGUAGAGACUGUAGAUGUCUGUGUUCCUUCCUUACUGUGUUGUAUUUGUUCAUGUCUGACCACAUCCACAACUGUGGUCGCUAGUUGUCAGAGACUCUCAAUGUAUUCUUCCUCUUUAUAUGUUUUAAAUGUAUUUUAUUUCCAAUGUGUAAAUAUAUAUUUUUGACCAUUAUAAGGGAAAAGAAGUGAGUUGCUUAGCUGUUCCUUUUUCAAGUAUUUUGACAAGAAAGGGAGGUUGGAUAUAGGUCUGUAAUUAUCCAGGUUAUCGGGAUCAAGGCUAGUUUCUUUGAGA